rnacentral:tRNA from 1 species
AAAAAUUUAGUUAAAAAAUAACGUUAGCUUGUCAAGCUAAAAUUAUUAAACAUUUAAUAAUUUUUA